rnacentral:rRNA from 1 species
AGAGGUUGAACGGCCACAUUGGGACUGAGACACGGCCCAGACUCCUACGGGAGGCAGCAGUGGGGAAUAUUGCACAAUGGGGGAAACCCUGAUGCAGCGACGCCGCGUGGAGGAAGAAGGUCUUCGGAUUGUAAACUCCUGUUGUUGGGGAAGAUAAUGACGGUACCCAACAAGGAAGUGACGGCUAACUACGUGCCAGCAGCCGCGGUAAAACGUAGGUCACAAGCGUUGUCCGGAAUUACUGGGUGUAAAGGGAGCGCAGGCGGGAAGACAAGUUGGAAGUGAAAUCUAUGGGCUCAACCCAUAAACUGCUUUCAAAACUGUUUUUCUUGAGUAGUGCAGAGGUAGGCGGAAUUCCCGGUGUGGCGGUGGAAUGCGUAGAUAUCGGGAGGAACACCAGUGGCGAAGGCGGCCUACUGGGCACCAACUGACGCUGAGGCUCGAAAGUGUGGGUAGCAAACAGGAUUAGAUACCCUGGUAGUCCACACCGUAAACGAUGAUUACUAGGUGUUGGAGGAUUGACCCCUUCAGUGCCGCAGUUAACACAAUAAGUAAUCCACCUGGGGAGUACGACCGCAAGGUUGAAACUCAAAGGAAUUGACGGGGGCCCGCACAAGCAGUGGAGUAUGUGGUUUAAUUCGACGCAACGCGAAGAACCUUACCAAGUCUUGACAUCCCUUGACAGGCAUAGAAAUAUGUUUUCUCUUCGGAGCAAGGAGACAGGUGGUGCAUGGUUGUCGUCAGCUCGUGUCGUGAGAUGUUGGGUUAAGUCCCGCAACGAGCGCAACCCUUAUGGUCAGUUACUACGCAAGAGGACUCUGGCCAGACUGCCGUUGACAAAACGGAGGAAGGUGGGGAUGACGUCAAAUCAUCAUGCCCUUUAUGACUUGGGCUACACACGUACUACAAUGGCGUUAAACAAAGAGAAGCAAGACCGCGAGGUGGAGCAAAACUCAGAAACAACGUCCCAGUUCGGACUGCAGGCUGCAACUCGCCUGCACGAAGUCGGAAUUGCUAGUAAUCGUGGAUCAGCAUGCCACGGUGAAUACGUUCCCGGGCCUUGUACACACCGCCCGUCACACCAUGAGAGCCGGGGGGACCCGAAGUCGGUAGUCUAACCGCAAGGAGGACGCCGCCGAAGGUAAAACUGGUGAUUGGGGUGAAGUCGUAACAAGGUAGCCGUAGGAGAACCUGCGGCUG